rnacentral:rRNA from 1 species
UACGUAGGUGACAAGCGUUGUCCGGGAUUUACUGGGCGUAAAGAGCGCGCAGGCGGUCGUUCAAGUCGAGUGUGAAAGCCCCCGGCUCAACUGGGGAGGGUCACGCGAUACUGAUCGACUCGAAGGCAGGAGAGGGAAGUGGAAUUCCCGGUGUAGUGGUGAAAUGCGUAGAUAUUGGGAAGAACACCGAUGGCGAAGGCAGCCAUCUGGACCGACACUGACGCGUGAGGCGCGAAAGCGUGGGGAGCAAACAGG